AUACGGAGGGGGUUAGCGUUGUUCGGAAUUACUGGGCGUAAAGCGCACGUAGGCGGACUGGAAAGUUGGGGGUGAAAUCCCGGGGCUCAACCCCGGAACUGCCUCCAAAACUUCCAAUCUAGAGAUCGAGAGAGGUGAGUGGAAUUCCAAGUGUAGAGGUGAAAUUCGUAGAUAUUUGGAGGAACACCAGUGGCGAAGGCGGCUCACUGGCUCGAUACUGACGCUGAGGUGCGAAAGCGUGGGGAGCAAACAGGAUUAGAUACCCCUGUAGUCC
rnacentral:rRNA from 1 species